rnacentral:rRNA from 1 species
ACGAACGCUGGCGGCGUGCUUAACACAUGCACGUCGAACGGAAAGGCUCCAGCUUGCUGGAGUACUCGAGUGGCGAACGGGUGAGUAACACGUGGGUAAUCUGCCCUGCACUCUGGGAUAAGCCUGGGAAACUGGGUCUAAUACUGGAUAUGACCUUUCUCCUUAUGGGGUUUGGUGGAAAGUUUUUCGGUGUAGGAUGAGCCCGCGGCCUAUCAGCUUGUUGGUGGGGUGAUGGCCUACCAAGGCGACGACGGGUAGCCGGCCUGAGAGGGUGAUCGGCCACAUUGGGACUGAGAUACGGCCCAGACUCCUACGGGAGGCAGCAGUGGGGAAUAUUGCACAAUGGGCGGAAGCCUGAUGCAGCGACGCCGCGUGAGGGAUGACGGCCUUCGGGUGGUAAACCUCUUUCAGCAGGGACGAAGCGUAAGUGACGGUACCUGCAGAAGAAGCACCGGCGAACUAUGU